CUCAGAAGUGUUUGAUAAAAUGUCCGAGUUAAAUUUGAGUUUGUAUGUUGCUGAAAAAUGUAGAGAAACCGAGCAGCUCAUAUCAUCAUCGGAGAAGGAAAACACUGUGGGAAGUGGCGGCGGUCGACGGGUCGAGGCAGAUCCACUCUUAGAUGCUUCGUGCUGGCCUCCGUUAUCCGCCAACAAGCUCAUUCAGUCCUCCGCUCUCUUCCAAUUCUGCAGCUAACGAGAUGUUCGACCAAAU
rnacentral:lncRNA from 1 species